CAGGGAAUCUUGCGCAAUGGACGAAAGUCUGACGCAGCGAUGCCGCGUGAGGGAUGACGGCCUUCGGGUUGUAAACCUCUUUCAGGAGGGACGAAAUUGACGGUACCUCCAGAAGAAGCCCCGGCCAACUACGUGCCAGCAGCCGCGGUAAUACGUAGGGGGCAAGCGUUGUCCGGAAUUAUUGGGCGUAAAGAGCUCGUAGGCGGCUUGGUAAGUCGGCCGUGAAAACCAAAGGCUCAACCUUUGGAUGUCGGUCGAUACUGCCAUGGCUGGAGUCCGGUAGAGGAGAGUGGAAUUCCCGGUGUAGAGGUGAAAUUCGUAGAUAUUCGGAGGAACACCAGUGGCGAAGGCGGCUCACUGGCUCGAAACUGACGCUGAGGUGCGAAAGCGUGGGGAGCAAACAGGAUUAGAUACCCCCGUAGUCC
rnacentral:rRNA from 1 species